CCUACGGGAGGCAGCAGUGAGGAAUAUUGGUCAAUGGACGAGAGUCUGAACCAGCCAAGUAGCGUGAAGGAUGACUGCCCUAUGGGUUGUAAACUUCUUUUAUAUGGGAAUAAAAUGUUCCACGUGUGGGAUUUUGUAUGUACCAUAUGAAUAAGGAUCGGCUAACUCCGUGCCAGCAGCCGCGGUAAUACGGAGGAUCCGAGCGUUAUCCGGAUUUAUUGGGUUUAAAGGGAGCGUAGGUGGAUUGUUAAGGCAGUUGUGAAAGUUUGCGGCUCAACCGUAAAAUUGCAGUUGAUACUGGCAGUCUUGAGUACAGUAGAGGUGGGCGGAAUUCGUGGUGUAGCGGUGAAAUGCUUAGAUAUCACGAAGAACUCCGAUUGCGAAGGCAGUUCACUGGACUGCAACUGACACUGAGGCUCGAAAGUGUGGGUAUCAAACAGGAUUAGAUACCCCAGUAGUC
rnacentral:rRNA from 1 species